UAGCUCAGUUGGUAGAGCAAUCGGCUGUUAACCGAUCGGUCGGCGGUUCGAGUCCG
rnacentral:tRNA from 1 species